GAUGAACGCUAGCUACAGGCUUAACACAUGCAAGUCGAGGGACCGGCGCACGGGUGAGUAACACGUAUCCAACCUGCCCUUUACUCGGGGAUAGCCUUUCGCAAGUAAGAUUAAUACCCGAUGUAAAGGAUGGGGAUGCGUUCCAUUAGGUUGUUGGUGAGGUCACGGCUCACCAAGCCUUCGAUGGAUAGGGGUUCUGAGAGGAAGGUCCCCGACAUUUGAACUGAGGUACGGUCCAAACUCCUACGGGAGGCAGCAGUGAAGAAGAUUGGUCAAGGGGCGUUAGCCUGAACCAGCCAAGUAGCGUGAAGGAUGAAGGCUUAUGGAUCGUAAUCUUCUUUUAUAUAAGAAUAUGUAUUAUAUGAAUAAGGAUCGGCUAACUCCGUGCCAGCCGCCGCGGUAAUUC
rnacentral:rRNA from 1 species